GGAAAAAGAAAUAAUAAUAAUAAUAAUAUUCAUCAUCAUUAUAUUAGGCCAAUUGUGAAACAUGAAAGAUCAUUCAAUUUCAUUUUCUUCCUUCCUCACAAACCCUAGCCACUGCCCCUCUUCAUCUCCACUUCAGGUUAUCGUCCUCUCUCGUGUAGCCAUCGUUAGAGAACUAAGCUGCAUCCGAUCACCACACAUUUUCGUUGAGUUGUUGUCUUCGUUCAAUCGUUCUCGCUAAGCUUCAUCCUUCUUCUGUCAUCACAUCCCACCUAGCAAAGCCUCUGACCAAGUUUCAUUCGCCGCAGCGUGCAGAUCUCCGUCGUGACUCUCCAUCACUGUGAAGCUAAAGAGUCUCUAUUCUUCCUUCACCCUAAUCGAUAUUCUCACGUGCGAGCUAUCCCGCCAUCAGAGCCGCUCACGUGAGCCGCCACAUGUUUUCUUCUCCACCGUUCGAACUUGAGACUUCUUCACCUAACCGAGCUAUUUUGGGCUUCUUUUGUUAGCCAAGCCACCAGAUUGAGCCAGUUGCUAUUUGGGUCUUUCGCUAAUUUGAGGAAUGAUUAAUUGGUGGGAAUUUUUCCAUUACGUAAGGUUGAUUUGAUAUCAAGGAUUGGUUCUUGGAAAGUUGAUUCAUUAGAAAGCUUGACUGUCGUUGUUAGGAAUAAACUUUGUUAAGCAAAUCUUGAGGUAAGAAGUUCUACUAUUA